rnacentral:rRNA from 1 species
GAGUUUGAUCAUGGCUCAGGAUGAACGCUGGCGGCGUGCCUAAUACAUGCAAGUCGAGCGAACAGAUAAGGAGCUUGCUCCUUUGAAGUUAGCGGCGGACGGGUGAGUAACACGUGGGUAACCUACCUAUAAGACUGGGAUAACUUCGGGAAACCGGAGCUAAUACCGGAUAACAUUUAGAACCGCAUGGUUCUAAAGUGAAAGAUGGUUUUGCUAUCACUUAUAGAUGGACCCGCGCCGUAUUAGCUAGUUGGUAAGGUAACGGCUUACCAAGGCGACGAUACGUAGCCGACCUGAGAGGGUGAUCGGCCACACUGGAACUGAGACACGGUCCAGACUCCUACGGGAGGCAGCAGUAGGGAAUCUUCCGCAAUGGGCGAAAGCCUGACGGAGCAACGCCGCGUGAGUGAUGAAGGGUUUCGGCUCGUAAAACUCUGUUAUUAGGGAAGAACAAAUGUGUAAGUAACUGUGCACAUCUUGACGGUACCUAAUCAGAAAGCCACGGCUAACUACGUGCCAGCAGCCGCAGU